rnacentral:rRNA from 1 species
GUGUCAGCAGCCGCGGUAAUACGAAGGGGGCAAGCGUUGUUCGGAAUGACUGGGCGUAAAGGGCGCGUAGGCGGUUCGUUGCGUCAGAUGUGAAAGCCCCGGGCUCAACCUGGGAACUGCAUUUGAUACGGGCGGGCUUGAAUCCAAGAGAGGGUGGUGGAAUUCCCAGUGUAGAGGUGAAAUUCGUAGAUAUUGGGAAGAACACCAGUGGCGAAGGCGGCCACCUGGCUUGGUAUUGACGCUGAGGCGCGAAAGCGUGGGGAGCAAACAGGAUUAGAAACCCCCGUAGUCC